rnacentral:rRNA from 1 species
AGAUUAAGUUACAAAGGGCGCACGGUGGAUGCCUUGGCACUAGGAGCCGAUGAAGGACGGAACGAACACCGAUAUGCUCCGGGGAGCUGUAAGCAAGCUUGGAUCCGGAGAUUUCCGAAUGGGGAAACCCACUGCCAGUAAUGGGGCAGUAUCCUGUACUGAAUACAUAGGUGCAGGAAGGCAGACCCGGGGAACUGAAACAUCUUAGUACCCGGAGGAAGAGAAAGAAAAUUCGAUUCCCCAAGUAGCGGCGAGCGAAACGGGAAGAGCCCAAACCAGAAGGCUUGCCUUCUGGGGUUGUAGGACACUCUAUACGGAGUUACAAAGGAAUGUGGUAGGCGAAGCGGCCUGGAAAGGCCCGCCAGAGAAGGUAACAGCCCUGUAAUCGGCACUUCAUUCCCUCCAGAGUGGAUCCUGAGUACGGCGGGACACGAGGAAUCCCGUCGGAAUCCGGGAGGACCAUCUCCCAAGGCUAAAUACUCCCUAGUGACCGAUAGUGAACCAGUACCGUGAGGGAAAGGUGAAAAGCACCCCGGAAGGGGAGUGAAAUAGAUCCUGAAACCGUGUGCCUACAAGUAGUCAGAGCACUAUAAGUGUGAUGGCGUGCCUUUUGUAGAAUGAACCGGCGAGUUGCGAUUUCAUGCAAGGUUAAGCUGAAGAGGCGGAGCCGCAGCGAAAGCGAGUCUGAAUAGGGCGUAUGAGUAUGAGGUCGCAGACCCGAAACCAGGUGAUCUACCCAUGUCCAGGGUGAAGGUCAGGUAACACUGACUGGAGGCCCGAACCCACGUAUGUUGAAAAAUGCGGGGAUGAGGUGUGGGUAGGGGUGAAAUUCCAAUCGAACCUGGAGAUAGCUGGUUCUCUCCGAAAUAGCUUUAGGGCUAGCCUCAAGGUAAGAGUAUUGGAGGUAGAGCACUGUUUGGACUAGGGGCCCUCAUCGGGUUACCGAAUUCAGACAAACUCCGAAUGCCAGAUACUCAUCCUUGGGAGUCAGACUGCGAGUGAUAAGAUCCGUAGUCGAGAGGGAAACAACCCAGACCGCCAGCUAAGGUCCCCAAGUAUACGUUAAGUGGAAAAGGAUGUGGAGUUGCUUAGACAACCAGGAUGUUGGCUUAGAAGCAGCCACCAUUCAAAGAGUGCGNAACCAGGAUGUUGGCUUAGAAGCAGCCACCAUUCAAAGAGUGCGUAAUAGCUCACUGGUCGAGUGACUCUGCGCCGAAAAUGUACCGGGGCUAAACGUAUCACCGAAGCUGUGGAUUGUCUUUAGACAAUGGUAGGAGAGCGUUCCAAGGGCUGUGAAGUCAUUCCGUAAGGAAUGGUGGAGCGCUUGGAAGUGAGAAUGCCGGUAUGAGUAGCGAAAGAAGGGUGAGAAUCCCUUCCACCGAAUGCCUAAGGUUUCCUGAGGAAGGCUCGUCCGCUCAGGGUUAGUCGGGACCUAAGCCGAGGCCGAAAGGCGUAGGCGAUGGACAACAGGUUGAUAUUCCUGUACCGCCUCGUUUCCAUUUGAGUGAAGGGGGGACGCAGUAGGAUAGGGUAAGCGCGCUGUUGGAUUAGCGCGUCCAAGCAGUUAGGCUGGCAAGUAGGCAAAUCCGCUUGCCAUAAGGCUGAGCUGUGAUGGCGAGGGAAAUUUAGUACCGAAGUUCCUGAUUCCACACUGCCAAGAAAAGCCUCUAGCGAGGAAACAGGCGCCCGUACCGCAAACCGACACAGGUAGGCGAGGAGAGAAUCCUAAGGUGAUCGAGAGAACUCUCGUUAAGGAACUCGGCAAAAUGACCCCGUAACUUCGGGAGAAGGGGUGCUCUUUGGGGUGCAAGCCCUGAGGAGCCGCAGUGAAUAGGCCCAGGCGACUGUUUAGCAAAAACACAGGUCUCUGCGAAGCCGCAAGGCGAAGUAUAGGGGCUGACGCCUGCCCGGUGCUGGAAGGUUAAGAGGAGGGCUUAGCGCAAGCGAAGGUCCGAAUUGAAGCCCCAGUAAACGGCGGCCGUAACUAUAACGGUCCUAAGGUAGCGAAAUUCCUUGUCGGGUAAGUUCCGACCCGCACGAAAGGCGCAACGAUCUGGGCACUGUCUCAACGAGAGACUCGGUGAAAUUAUACUAUGCGUGAAGAUGCGCAUUACCCGCGACAGGACGGAAAGACCCCGUGGAGCUUUACUGCACCCUGAUAUUGACUGUCUGUGCAGCUUGUACAGGAUAGGUAGGAGCCUUGGAAACCGGAGCGCCAGCUUCGGUGGAGGCAACGGUGGGAUACUACCCUGGCUGUAUGGACCGUCUAACCCGCACCCGUGAUCCGGGUGGGAGACAGUGUCAGGCAGGCAGUUUGACUGGGGCGGUCGCCUCCUAAAGAGUAACGGAGGCGCCCAAAGGUUCCCUCAGAAUGGUUGGAAAUCAUUCGCAGAGUGCAAAGGCAUAAGGGAGCUUGACUGCGAGACCUACAAGUCGAGCAGGGACGAAAGUCGGGCUUAGUGAUCCGGUGGUUCCGCAUGGAAGGGCCAUCGCUCAACGGAUAAAAGCUACCCCGGGGAUAACAGGCUUAUCUCCCCCAAGAGUUCACAUCGACGGGGAGGUUUGGCACCUCGAUGUCGGCUCAUCGCAUCCUGGGGCUGUAGUCGGUCCCAAGGGUUGGGCUGUUCGCCCAUUAAAGCGGUACGCGAGCUGGGUUCAGAACGUCGUGAGACAGUUCGGUCCCUAUCCGUCGCGGGCGCAGGAAAUUUGAGAGGAGCUGUCCUUAGUACGAGAGGACCGGGAUGGACGCACCGCUGGUGUACCAGUUGUCUUGCCAAAGGCAUCGCUGGGUAGCUAUGUGCGGCAGGGAUAAGUGCUGAAAGCAUCUAAGCAUGAAGCCCCCCUCAAGAUGAGAUUUCCCAUUGCCUGGCUUGCCAGGCAGGUAAGAUCCCUGAAAGACGAUCAGGUAGAUAGGUCCGGUGUGGAAGUGUGGCGACACAUGGAGCUGACGGAUACUAAUCGAUCGAGGACUUAAUCUU